GAUGAACGCUGGCGGCGUGCUUAACACAUGCAAGUCGAACGGACAGGCCCUGCUUUUGCUUGUUUCUCGAUUGGCGAACGGGUGAGUAACACGUGUGUAUCCUGUCCUUGUCUUUCUGAUAACUUCUCGAAACUGCGGCUCAUACCCGAUAUGAGCUCCUGCUGCAUGUUGUUCGUUGGAAAGUUUCGGCGGUUGUGGAUCGACUCGCGGCUUAUCAGCUUGUUUGUCGGGUAGUGGCUUACCAAGGUUUUGACGGGUAGCCGGCCUGAGAGGGUUACCGGGCACAUGGGGACUAAGAUACGGAGCAGAAUCCUACGGGAGGCAGUAGGGGGGAAUAUUGCACAAUGGGCGGAAGCCUGAGGCAGAAACGCCGCGUGCGGGAUGACGGCCUUUGGGUUGUAAACAGAUGUCGCAGGAGACGAAGAGUGAGUGACGGUAAUGGGUAAAGAAGCACCGGCUAACUACGUG
rnacentral:rRNA from 1 species